AUACAUACACACACUU
rnacentral:sRNA from 1 species